rnacentral:lncRNA from 1 species
CUCAGCUCACUGCAAGCUCUGCCUCUCGGGUUAAAGUCAUUCUCCUGCCUCAGCCUCGCGAGUAGCUGGGACUACAGGCGCCCGCCACCACGCCAGGCUAAUUUUUUGUAUUUUUAGUAGAGACGGGAUUUCACCGUGUUAGCCAGGAUGUUCUUGAUCUCCUGACCUCGUGAUCCACCCGCCUCGUCCUCCCAAAGUGCUGGGAUUACAGGCGUGAGCCACGGCGCCCGGCCGUAGAUAAGAAUCUUAGAGCUGUUAAAUAUCCCUAUGCUAGAUCAAGAUGGGUCCAGGGACCUAAAGUUGGCUGGAGCCCGCUGGUGGGAUUCAGUGCGGAGCAAACAGGGUCCACGUGGAGAUGACAGUGAUAGAAGAUGAAGAAACUUUGUCCAGAUGUUCUGGGUAACUGGAAUGUGAAUAUCCACAGGUAUUUGUUGAAAGAAUAAAUGCAUGCCAAGAGAAGGGGAGGCACAGUGGAAGACACAGAGUGAAGAUACAGCUCCUGGUAAUUUCAGCACAAGGCUCUCAAUUCUUAACUGGGGCAGCAGGGAGCUGGCAUCCGCAUAAGCUGGAUAUGGCUUACUUGAGUGAAUGGAUCGCGUGCCCGGUAUUGACAUCCCAGAUUCUUUAGGGUUGUACCUAAAUAAAAAGAUGGAAAAGGAGAAAGUCUCUUUUUUUUCCAUCCAGGAAUCACUUUCAAACCCCGUAUCAUUAUUCAUGAGUUUUUGCAACGUAAGCAUGGCGCCCCUUUCACUUGCAUUUUUACUUUCUGUUUUCCUAAUCACCUGUCUCUUGGGUACAUUUUAUCUGUCCCAAGCAUCCUUACCUUCCCUUUGCCUGUCUUCUUUCCUUCUCUUCUGUCUCCCCUGUCUGUACGUCUUUGCAUGCUCUCUCUCUUCCUCUCUGGACCUCUCUGGGUCAGGAAGGCAUUUAGCGAGGAAAGCAUCUGAGGCCAAACAGCAUAGAUUUUCUCUUCCUCCUCCUCACAGGUUCUUUCUCUGGAAGGGGGCUUCAGAGGAGAGGAUCUUCUUUAGCUCCAUCCUCUUGCUGGGCAGCUUGCUCUCCAGACAAUUCCCUUGAACUUUUCCACAGCCCUAGCCUUCAUAACUCCCCAACCCCAGCCCUGACCCCAAGAUUCCAGGUCCUAACUCUGGGCUCUGCCCUGGCUUGUCUGAAAUCAGGUGUCCUGGAUGAAACAGAAAGUCAGUCAAGAGUUAGGUUGCUUCCCUCACCACUGACAGAUAUGUGAAACUUCGACCAACUAAUUCGAACUCAGAAGAUCAGGAGUAUGGUAGGA